GUUCCCUUAGAAAAUCCAAUAAGAUUGAACACUUCUCCUACGUUUUGAACCAUUCUCUCACUGUUUCUCUUCAUUGAACCCUAUAUUUAGAACUCAACACCGAUUCUCAUUCCUCUCAAUGCUGUGAGUAUUGCCACCAAACCUGUGACCGUCACCGUCACUCUCAAACGUUCAGUGUCGUCGCUGUCCCCCUCUCGUACGUGUGACCCUCUCGAACCCGUCGUCGUUCAGUGUCGUCGUCGCGCUGUCAUCUAUUGUCGAUUCUCAAUUUCAAGCAAACUAAAAAGGACAUAAUAGCAACAUCAAAUGGAGAACAAUUGGUUCGGUUCUGAUUUACUUUCUUGAUUAUCAACAACCUAAAUGGAUUCAAAGGUAUGCAACAGAUUCAAAUUUGACAUUGGAUUGGAUGGACGAUAUCAGACACUGACUAAUUUCUGGCCAGAAGUUCCUAUUUUGGUCAUUCAUUGGACCUAGUCUCCUGUAUCCUGGUGAAUUUUGAUAAACAACAAAUCGUAGUUUGGAGGGGGAAGGAUUAUAAGCAAUUGAAAGUUUUAGGGUCGGAAAUCAACAAAUUUGAGGGCAACAACAUGGACGACAACAUGGAUAUCUAGCACAAGAAAUUGGAAAGCAAUCUCCAUAAGCUGUACAACAAGGUGGUAAAUCUUGAGUUUGUACGCUUUGAGAGUUACCAGCCAAAGAACCUAUAAUAGCAAUGACUAAAAUCAAUAAUUUGAAGAGCAUCUUCAACAAAGUGGUCAUUACAACUGAGUUUGGUUUACAAAGAAAAACAAAGGAGAUAUCUUAUAGUGAGCCGUAUGUUAACGUAAUAUGUACUAAUUUAUAGACAAAGAAUAUAUACUCUACAAAAUCAUUUUUAGUAAUAUUUAAAUGUUAACAUAUAGGAUUUAAUUAAAA